CGGCGGCGGCGGCGCUCCCUGCCCAGAGCUGCCGCGGCGCCGGGAGGCUGGGGGCGGAGGGCGGCGCGGGAGGAGCGGCCCGAGCCGCAGCGCUACGGCGGCCCGGCGGGGCCUCCAGCGUUCGCCUGCAGGGCGGCGUGGGGCGUGGCGGGCCUCUGGUGGCACCGCGCCCAGCACUUCGGGCUCUUGGUGGCGGCCGAGCUGCGGGACCAGAGAUCCCCCCACUCGGCACCCCUGCUCCUGCCGAGUGAACAGGACUCCUGGCUACUCUGCACUGGCUUUCUAACUUUCUGAUGGGGGUGCAGUCCUUUGCAUUCCAGGGGUCACAGCAACACCCGCAUCGCCCGUUCUCAGCCGCAGGGUCUCCGCCUGCAUCACUCGACUCUAAAAUUUCCUUCCCUAGUGCACGGAACUGCUGUCCAGGACUCUGCUCUCCGACUACCUCAGGGAGGAUUCUGUUUUGGGAAAAGUGUUGAUCCAUUUCUAAUUCAUCUUUGUUUCUUCAUAAUGGAGUGUUGUGCCAGUGACAUUAUCCACCCCAUCUUGAAAUCCUAGAGCCAUUUCUACAAGGUUCAUUACUCCACUUCAUUAAGCAACAGGUCCUGCCAGCUAAAGUCUUAAAAAAAAAAAAUAGCAGUAGCAAGUGACAGUUUUAGCAACACUUCCUAACUCCAGUCUGUGACACGCCCAUGAACUUUCCACAUUAAGAGGAAGUGGUAGGGUGGAAAAUUCUAACCUUUUCGAAACUUUGGGACUCUAUAAAAAUUCCUGUGUGGGAGAAGAAGCUGGAGAAGAAAUCCUUGAUCUGUAACUUAAUAUAUGUGUAUAUUUUAUGUGUACAUAUUGGCCUGCCUACCUGCAUGUUAUAAAGCACGACAUCCUACAUGCCACAGAGAUGCAUCUCACAGAGGCUAAGACAAGGUACCAGUCCUCAAAAAGCUGACAGCAGAGGCAGAAGGAAGAAGCAAACACAAAAAACAGUAACUAAUUGUGAAGCAGGAUGAAAUAAGUGAUAACAAAGAGGCAAGAGUGACGUGUGGUGGGUUCUGACUGAUGGGAGGUUUUAUAUAGCAGCACCAAGUACCAUACAGAUUCCAGGUUCAAACGCACACACAACAGGAAGAUGAGAAAGCUUAAGACUCAAAAUGGAAUGGAUUAGAUAAUAUAAUAUAUACGAAAGUCCUGGCAGAUGGCUUCACUUAUUGUUGUAAGAAGGAGUUAGCAUUUGAUUUGAGCUCUGAAGGAUAAAAGAAUUUUAAGUGAGGAGAAGGGUGUUCCAGGCUGAGGAAACAAGGUAGAGACAGAGUUGACAGUUUGAGUCUCGGGAGUAAGGUGGGGAAUGAAGAGUUGAUGGGGUGCUAGCAAACAGUGCCUGGAGAGAGAAAACAGGAGUCUGAAAGCUAUGCUAGACAAAGCACCAAGAGCUUUGUGUAACAGGCUGCGGAGCUGGGAGGAAAUGAAGAAAAGAAAAAGGUGGUUAUUCAAUCUCCGCAUUCAGACACAUCACCACCACCUUCUCUCUGGUCCACCUGAACUGGUCAGAGAUAACCAAAGGAGGAUAAGGAAAUCAACGUGUUGCAACAACAAGGACAUCUUUGUAGCACUGCAGUGUCCUAAUUGUGACUAAUUGUGAAACAGUUCAUCACCUCUGCUCACCCAGACCCCUCUCCUAUCAGCACCACCACCUCUUCCACCAAUCCCCACAGUAUUAACUCCACUUCCACUCUGUCCGACAUCACCCCCCUCAACCCUUCUGCUCCGCCUCUUCAAUCUGGACCAGCAGCAGCCCCUACUGCCAGAACGACACCACAGCCACCCAGCAUGGCAGAGCAAGCUUGCACAGGGAAGGUAUGCUAGGAAAUGGCUGCACACUGUCCCACUAGGGAAUUCCAUCCUCUGCCAACUAAGGAAUUCCAUGGAAAAGAUUCACGUCAGUGGACAGAUCCAGAUGGUGCCUGGUACUCUGCAGGUCCUCAAUAACUUUCUGUUAAAUUGGGUCUUAAUUGUUUGUGAGUUAUUGAUUAUAAUAAGUCCAAUUUCU